CAAAAAUGAUAGAUUUUAACAACAAUGUAGCACAUAGAAUACACAAUACAUACCAAAUUAUGAAAAUUUAACAGAAUUCACAAUCCACAGAACACCAAACCCAAUACAAAUACAAUUCAAAUUCACACUCCAUAACAAACCAACACAAUUCAUAAUGCAUGUCCAACAUUAGGUAGUGGAACAUUGUUUUUACAGGUGCUUUUAUUGUGGCAUGUGCCACUGCACCUUGAGCAUUUUCUCCUUAGGAUAUCCUCUCCUUGCGACGAAAUCCUUAGCUUCUUUCGUUGGCCUAGCAUGACCUUUGCAUUGGGAGGACGCACAACUCUACUUUGGACAUCUUCAGGAAUAACCCACAACUCUUGAGGCUGUACUGGGUAGAUGGUAUCUGAAUAAGCAUCCAACCAUGUAUUUC
rnacentral:lncRNA from 1 species